UACGAAGGGGGCUAGCGUUGCUCGGAAUCACUGGGCGUAAAGCGCACGUAGGCGGCUUUUUAAGUCAGGGGUGAAAUCCUGGAGCUCAACUCCAGAACUGCCUUUGAUACUGAGAAGCUUGAGUCCGGGAGAGGUGAGUGGAACUGCGAGUGUAGAGGUGAAAUUCGUAGAUAUUCGCAAGAACACCAGUGGCGAAGGCGGCUCACUGGCCCGGUACUGACGCUGAGGUGCGAAAGCGUGGGGAGCAAAAGGG
rnacentral:rRNA from 1 species